AGAAAAGUAAGCUAAAUAAAGCUAAUGGGUUCAUACCCCAUAAAUAGAGUAAACCUCUCUUCUCUG
rnacentral:tRNA from 1 species